CGGGAGCGUAAUACAUAGGUGACGUACCCAGGAACCGGGGACAACCGCGGGCGCAAGCCCUUUAGCGAAAGUGCGGCUAAUACCCGAUGACGUCGCGAGGUUGCAUGACCUUGCGACCAAAGGCGGGGACCUUCGGGCCUGCCGGUCUUGGAGCGGCCUAUGUCCUAUCAGGUAGUUGGUGAGGUAACGGCUCACCAAGCCUACGACGGGUAGCGGGCGUGAGAGCGCGACCCGCCUCAUCGGGACUGAGACACUGCCCGGACACCUACGGGUGGCUGCAGUAACGAAUCUUGGGCAAUGGGCGCAAGCCUGACCCAGCAAUGCCGCGUGCAGGAGGAAGCCCUUCGGGGUGUAAACUGCUGUUAGGGUCUCGCAAGCGAGGGGAGCUAACAUCUCCCUGAGUUGAGCCGACCCAGAGGAAGCCUCGGCUAACUCUGUGCCAGCAGCCGCGGUAAGACAGAGGAGGCAAGCGUUGUUCGGAAUCACUGGGCUUAAAGGGGGUGUAGGCGGCCGCGUAAGUGUCGUGUGAAAUCCCAUGGCUCAACCAUGGAACUGCAUGGCAUACUGCGUGGCUUGAGUGCGGCAGAGGUGCCUGGAACUCUAGGUGGAGCGGUGAAAUGCGUAGAUAUCUAGAGGAGCGCCAGAAGCGAAAGGGGGCACUGGGCCGUUACUGACGCUGAGACCCGAAAGCGUGGGGAGCAAACAGGAUUAGAUACCCUGGUAGUCCACGCCGUAAACGAUGCACACUAGGCGUUGGGGAUUCUCACAUCUUCGGCGCCGAAGAAAACUGGUAAGUGUGCCGCCUGGGGAGUACGGCCGCAAGGUUAAAACUCAAAGGAAUUGACGGGGGCUCACACAAGCGGUGGAGCAUGUGGCUUAAUUCGAAGCA
rnacentral:rRNA from 1 species